rnacentral:rRNA from 1 species
AUUGAACGCUGGCGGCAGGCUUAACACAUGCAAGUCGAGCGGAGCGAGGGUGCUUGCACCUUAGCUUAGCGGCGGACGGGUGAGUAAUGCUUAGGAAUCUGCCUAUUAGUGGGGGACAACAUUCCGAAAGGAAUGCUAAUACCGCAUACGCCCUACGGGGAAAAGCAGGGGAUCUUCGGACCUUGCGCUAAUAGAUGAGCCUAAGUCGGAUUAGCUAGUUGGUGGGGUAAAGGCCUACCAAGGCGACGAUCUGUAGCGGGUCUGAGAGGAUGAUCAGCCAAACUGGGACUGAGACACGGCCCAGACUCCUACGGGAGGCAGCAGUGGGGAAUAUUGGACAAUGGGCGGAAGCCUGAUCCAGCCAUGCCGCGUGUGUGAAGAAGGCCUUUUGGUUGUAAAGCACUUCAAGCGAGGAGGAGGCUCUUAAGGUUAAUACCCUUGAUGAGUGGACGUUACUCGCAGAAUAAGCACCGGCUAACUCUGUGCCAGCAGCCGCCGUAACAC